UCUAAAACACAGUAAUCAAGGGACUAAGUUUAAGCAUCUUGUAACUGGAGAAUAGAUAUGCACUUCAGCAGAACAAUGGAGAAAGUCCAGAUUACACCUAGGGUAGUAUAGAGAUGGGACAGGAUGGGACAAAAUGGCAUUUUAUAUCCAGCUAGAUAAUGCAUUGGAAAAUAAUGACUGAUUGGGUCUUUAGGAAAAAAUAAAAAAAUAAAGCUGGAUCCUGAUCUCAUCCCUCUCCAUCAAAAUAAAUUCCAGGUGGAUUAAAGAUUUUGAUAUUAAAAAGUUCAGCCAUGAACAUACAAAGAGAAAACCUCAGAGUCAGUUUGUAGUCUUGGCCUUGGAAGGGCCUCUCCAAGUAGAAACAAACACUGCAGCCAUGUAAGAAAAGAUGAAAAAAAAUCACAAUAAAUAUAAAAAACUGUUUUGUAAAAAGUGGGAGUUAAUUUGCAAUCCAUGUAACAGAAGGCAUAUUUACACAGAGCUUAUAUAAAUCAAUAAGAAAAAGAAAAUGCAAUAGAAAAAUGGCUAGUUCACAUUAAAAAAUAAAGAUAGUCACUAGAAAGAUGCUAAGUCUCACAUAGAGGUAAAGAAAUGUAACAAAACAAGAAUUGGAUGUGCUCUUUCCUCUCACUGAUGAGGAAAUAUGAAAGGCAUUUCUGGUGUUAUCAAGGGUACAGGGAGCAGGACCCUACCUAUAGUUGAUAUACAAGGACGGUUUGAUAUUAUCUGUCUACAUUUGAAAUGUGUAUAACCUUCCACCAAGUAUCUCCUUGGCAUUUAAUAUUACUGAUUUACUUGAAAAAAGAUGGCAGUAAAUAUGGACAGUUGAAGCAUUAUUAUAAUAGUAAAAUACUGGCAACAGGUGUGUAUCAGUACAGAACUGGUUACAUAAGUGAUUUUCGUCCAAUGGAGUAGUAUGCAGCCAUGAAAACGGACACAGUAGGUUUGUAUGUACAAAUAGGGAAAGAUCAAAGUACGUUAUAAAGUGGGGAAAAGAACAUGGUGCUUAUGGUAUGACCUCAUAUGCUUUGAUUUUUUUAAAACUAUACAUUAAUUUAAUAUUUGAAAUCAUAGCUUUCUUUGUGGAGGGAUUAAAAGUGGUUAUCUUUGAGGAGUUACCAGAAUUGGGUGGGGGAAAGAGACUUCAUAUUAGAUCUUUUUAUACUGUUUGAAAAUUUUUAAACAUAUCCAUACAAUGCUUUAAAAAUUAAAAACAGGAUAUGGGGGGCCUGGGUAGCUCAGUGGGUUGAACUGCUGCCUUCAGCUCAGGUCAUGAUCUCAGAGACCUGGGAUCGAGCCCCACAUCAGGCUCUCUAAACUGUAAUGGCCUGUUGGGCUGCUAAGGUGCAGUUGUUAUUCCUAUAGUCCCCAUUCGAAUGCAGUACGCUCCCUACUUUACUCCAAUGAAAUUAUGUCCUUUGAAUUAAUACAGUUGAAUUUGAAAAUUACAUUUUGUCACUGGAAACUUACUUUUGAAUGUAGACAGUCCUCUGCAAUUUUUUAAUCAGCUUUUGGACAGCUGCCGCUCUUGGCAUUUGUCCCGUGUCCCCAGAUUGCUUCAUUCACGGCGAAUCCAGACCCAUGCAUCUGCCUGUGAGUCAGCUAUGGGGCUGCAUGGGAAUGGUUCCCAUCAGCCAGUGAUUCUGGGCUGGAGGGACUCCUACCCCUGCAGGGCCUAGGAGUGUGAGGUGGUCACUCAAAUAUGGGAUCACAUUUUUUUUGUUUUUACACACAUGAGAAACAGGGAAACGAAAGUGCUGGUACUGGUAAUAGGUGUGGGUUUUUAUAUCUCAGUAUCAUGGAGACAAAGAUGGGAAUGAUUUAGUAUAUCAGAAAUGGCAGCCCCAUUGGAUGCCAGACUUUACUGGACUUCCAUCAGUUCUCUAUAUGUUGAGCCAUAAAGAAAAAAAAAAAAAAAAAAAAAAAAAAAACUAAAGAAAGGCCAGACAAGUUUGACUUUGUAACUCCCAUGCCCACCCAACGCUUCCACGUCCAGCAUCCUCUCCUGCUUGUUUUCUAGAUCAAUAUUGCCAACCUGUCUGCGUUAUAGCCCAGAGACACUCUUCCUUUUCUCCCUCUGGUGCUCUUUGUGUAUAUCUCAUCUUACCCUAUAGGAGUAGCUUUAGAGAAGGGAGUGGUUCCUUGUCUGUGGGCGGCUGCCCUCCCUGCUUACCCAGUGGACCCCUCAUCCCAGGGUCCCAGGAAAUGUGAGCGCCCACAAAACUAUAAAGGAAUCCAGCCACUAGGUGGCAGCCUUGUCAAAAGUCCGUUGUGCCCUUCCGUUCUGAGCCCGGGUUUCUGAGCAACCGGGUAACUACCGGACUUAAGGAAACAGCCCUUCUUUUGCUCAUUCAUUAAUUCAGCAGAUAUUUCUGAGUGCUUUCUAUGUGCCCAGCACUGUUCUAGGGAAAAGGACAGAGACGCCUCUGUCCAUGGAGCCGCGUAGACAGGACGUGGAAGAGAUGAUGACGUCAGCUGGGUAGAAGGGGGUGACCCAUCCAAGAACAGCGAGAGGCUGCUGUGGCUGGAGCCCCAUGAGCGAGGACAGCAGUGGGAGGCGGGAGCAGAAAGGCCAAGGAGGAGAAGAGUGACAUGAUCUGACCUCAUUCCGAAGGGAGUCCAUGGCUGCUUGCUGAGCGUGGACAGGUGGAGUGGGAGGCGGGACCAGAGGCUGGCAAGGAGGUGGCUUGGGCUGGGUUGGUGCCGUGGAACUGAGAGCCGCAAUUAGCUUCUAGGUGCAUUUUGAAGGGUAGAAUCAACAGUUCUAAAAGGCCCUGAUGGGUUCUUUUUUGUCGUUGUUUUAAUUGAUUUAUCGGAGAGAGAAAGUUUGAGUGGGGAGGAGUGGCAGAGGCAGAGGGAGAAGCAGACUUGUUGCUGAGCCGGGAGCCGGAUGCGGGACUCUAUCCCAUGACCCCAGGAUCAUGACCUGAGCCGAAUGAAGGCAGAUGCUUAGCUGACUGAGCCACCCAGGCAUCCCUGAAUUUCCUUCCUUCUUUAAUGCUGAAGACUAUUACGUUGUAUGCAUACACCAUAUUUUGUGUAUCCAAUCAUCCAUCAAUGGAUAUCUGUGUCAUUUUCACCUUGUGGGUACUGUGAAGAGCAUUACUAUGAACUUGGGUUGCAGACAGCUCUCUGAGUCCCUGCUCCUGAUCCUUUGGGUUUUCUGCCCCCGAACAGGGACUGCUUAUUCUCCCAGUGGGUUUGAGUUAAGGAAAGGGAACGUUUCAUGCCAGCUGUACCUUGGCCAAUCUCUGUGUUAAUGCUCAUGGACUCUCAGACAUCUCAGAGGACAUUCCAGCAUCAAAGCAGGCUCGCAUCCAAAAAGGCAUUCAUGUCCUCGCCUGCCCAUGUGCCUAUCCGUUCCCGGUUACCUGCAUCAGACCCGGCAUACCUGUGGCUCCAGCCUAAGAUGCUUGUCCUCUUUGAUGUGGGAAGGCACUAACGCCUCUAACUCAGAAGUAUCCACGAGGUGAAAAUGACACAGAGGUCCAUUGAUGGAUGAAUGAAAAAACAAAAUAUGGUGUAUGCAUACAAUGUAAUAGUCUUCGGCAUUAAAAAGGGAAGGAAAUUCAGGGAUGCCUGGGUGGCUUAGUCGGGACCUAGGAUCAUCACUAUCCUUGCCGCUUUAUAGAUCAGAGACAUUAUGCAGACCGUGCAAGUUCGUGCUUUGAAAAUAUUGGAACCACGAUUUGCCGAUGAGGAGACAGGGCCCGAGAGACUGUGGCACAGGGCAGAAGAGAGACCGUUGCAAAGUGACAUUGGGGGUAGUGAGGACACCCACACCAGCUCCUGGCCCACGUUUUCCGGAAAUGUGAGAAAAGGAACAGACCGACUGGAAAGGGAAGCUGUGGGAGUCAUUCAGCCUCAGAAGUGAUGGGACAUUCAGAAAGGAGGCUCAGGGUAGGGGGUGUGCUGAUUUCAGCUGUGAGUUCUUGAGGGCCCUGAGGACAAAGGAGGGGCACCGCAUCUACUUGGGGAUGAGAGCCUGCAGAAAAUCACAGACUGCCAGGAAUGAGGUUUUCUGUUUCAUUCUUUUUUCCUAUUUCUUUCUUUCUUUCUUUCUUUCUUUUUUUUUGUAAUAUUACACGGAUCACUUAUUAAUGAAUACAUUUUGUGGUUCAAAAAAGUUAACAUUUUAGAUUAAGCAUUUUCGUUUGUCUUUAUCUUUUCCUACAUUUAAUUCAUUUUUUUAUUUGGUAAGAACACUUCACAUGAGAUGGACCACCUUCCCAAAUCGUUAAGCAUGCACAAUGUUGUAGGGCAGAUCUCUGGAACCCUGCACCCACUGAACAGCAACUCCCAGCACCCCCUCUGCCCAUCCCACCCCCUGCCACCGUUCUACUCUGCUUCCAUGUAGAGAAGACUCUGGCUCUCUUCCA